CAGAGAUUCUCCGAAUAACUUACUUGGCUUCUGUUUCUUUGGUGAUGCAGAUUGUGAGGCCAAGAUCCCAAAGAUGGAAAGGUUAUUGAGAGGAAUUAAUGUGAACUCAGUGAAAAACUUUUUUUUCAAAAGGGUGGGGCUAAUUGCAAAGGAGUGUGUACUGAUUCAAGAUUUUUUAAGGCCCUGAAAAAUGUCUUAGACCACCUUUUGCUCUGAUCCAGUGAGGCCAUUGAGACUUGAGGUAAAUGAGAAGCAUGCUUUGAAUUUCAUUUCUUAGAUGAAGUAGGAAAGCGGGGAGGAUGGUCUGAAACAACAGGCUCACUGCUGAUGCUAACAGUGGUUUCUAAGGGCUGCCUACACUUAACAUGGCAGAGGAUAACAAAGCAGUGCUCUUCUGUUGCAUGGUUUAUGCUUUAGGGAUUCUACAUGUUGAUCAC
rnacentral:lncRNA from 1 species